rnacentral:lncRNA from 1 species
CUUCUGUGUCCCUUGCUGAGGGGACGUCUCCAUUAUAGUACUGGUCAUCACUGUGAUAGAACCGUGCUCCAAUGAUCUUGCUGCACUCAUAAUGUCAAGGUAAUUCCGAUUAGCCAAUCCAAUAUAUUGAUUGAUAAAAUAGGAAGGCAGAAAUGUUGGUGUCUUAUAUGUUCAACUUUGGAUGAGAAUGCUUACUUAUUGCAUGUGAAAUUAGUGCCUGCGCAGGUUCCCUUCCAUUUAGUUGGUGGAGAACUGAAACCUGUGUCGUUGAAACUCGGAUGCUCUGGCCAGACUCCUAUGGAGAUGGACAGCAGAGGAAAGCAAGAAUUUCAGACAAAUAUUCCUCAUGAAAUAGAAACAACUUGUGAUGUUAGUUACCACUAACCAGUGUCAAGGAGGCCGAUAACAACAUCUGAUUCAGGUGCUGCUUGCAGCUUGUCUGUGGUAAGAUUCAAGAAGUCCCAAGACCUCGUAGUGUGAAGCUUGUGCUUGCGGCUUGGAUUUACUGAAACCACUCCUUCCAUUUCUGCAGCAAUAUAUUUUGUUAAAACGAAUACUGUCUUAACACUUUGGUUGAUUUUGUUGCUCCGAGAUAGGUUAACUCACCUGAAAUUCUGGUGGCUUCCUCGUCUGUGAGCUUGGCCGCAAAUCCAUUGAAACUUCUUCCAUAACUGUGGACCAGCGAGUCUUUGGCUGCUGAGGCACUGAAUCAUGAAACAGAGAUGUUUUCUAGUUAAAGAUGCUUGGAAGGAUCAAGUCUCCUCUCCACUAGUAAGGUAGAUUAAGCUAAAACUUAGAAUAAUCACGAUUCAACGUUUACAUUUCACUUUUAGCAUAAUACUUGCUAGUUUGCAAUUAGUUUAGUCACUUCAUCUGUAUUGCAUUAUACCCUCAGUCAAAAUAUUAUUGGAUUCAUGUUAUCUUUGGUAACAAACCUUCCAAGUACUCUAUGCAACAUUCCGUGAUGCUUGGAAACAACCGAUACACCUUCUUCAGGUCGAUCUCCCAUGUAGACUACAUGAAGCUGCAAAGAGAACAGCUAUUCAGAGAGAGGGAGGGAGAGAGAAAGAGAGAGUUGAGGAAUUCGGCAUACCUUCCUUUCUAGGCAGUGGCAGUUGAGCACAAGGGCUGCAAGCAGCAAAG